rnacentral:lncRNA from 1 species
AGCUUCUGCUCUAGAGACUUGCUGUAAGCUGUACACAGAUGUCUUUUCUGAAUGGAGAAGAUGGAGGAGAUUGAUUUGGAGUUUGUUCACUACCUAGAUUAUCCACUCUACUGCAUCAGAUGACUCCAGCAUUACUGAUCUGCACCCCGGAAUAUCCUGGAAUAAUCACUUGUGCAGUUUUGAUGACAUCUCUUGAAGUGUUAUGACCAUCAAGCACAGCAGAUCAAGACAUUUACAGAAGAUCGGGGACUGACAUCCUGCCUGUGCGUUCUCAGAAUAUGAAACGUAUGUUAU